rnacentral:rRNA from 1 species
CAAGUCGAGCGAGAAAAGGGGAGCAAUCCCCUGAGUAAAGCGGCGCACGGGUGAGUAACACGUGGGUAAUCUGCCCUGGAGUGGGGAAUAACACCGGGAAACCGGUGCUAAUACCGCAUACGAUAACGAUGUCUGCGGACGACGUUAUGAAAGGAGCAAUUCGCUCCAGGAGGAGCCCGCGGCUGAUUAGCUAGUUGGUGAGGUAAUGGCUCACCAAGGCAACGAUCAGUAGCCGGUCUGAGAGGACGGUCGGCCACACUGGAACUGAGACACGGUCCAGACUCCUACGGGAGGCAGCAGUGGGGAAUUUUUGGCAAUGGGGGAAACCCUGACCAAGCAACGCCGCGUGGAUGAUGAAGUAUCUCGGUACGUAAAAUCCUUUCGACAGGGAAGAAACCGCAAGGUUGACGGUACCUGUAGAAGAAGCCCCGGCUAACUCCGUGCCAGCAGCCGCGGUAAUACGGGGGGGGCAAGCGUUGUUCGGAAUUACUGGGCGUAAAGGGCGCGUAGGCGGUUUGCUAAGUUGGACGUGAAAACUCUGGGCUUAACCCAGAGCCUGCAUCCAAAACUGGCAAGCUGGAGUAUUGGAGGGGGAAGCGGAAUUCCUGGUGUAGCAGUGAAAUGCGUAGAUAUCAGGGAGGAACACCGGUGGCGAAGGCGGCUUCCUGGACAAUAAACUGACGCUGAGGCGCGAAAGC